rnacentral:lncRNA from 1 species
GCAGGGGGCUGUCAUCUGCUCAGAAUAUAGGACUCGCACCCCAAAACACAGGGCACUCCCCCUACCCCGUGCCAUCCCAACUCUAGCCCCCACAUUAGGCUCAGGCCACUGAUAAUGCAGGGUCCACACAGCCCCAAAUGUGGAUUCUCCUUGACCUUGAGAAGCACUGAAUCCACCCCAACCUACGCCAAGGUCAUCAGCCUGACCCUGAGCAACAUGAAGAACUACAGGGACCACUUUGAGCAGUUGAACCAGCUUCACCACAGUGAAUGGAAUUAUUUUGAUAGUCACCUAAAGGACCUGCAUGACCGCUUCCUGAGGGAAGUGAAGAACACUGAGAAGAAAGCAGCAGAUGAAAGACAGGCCAGUCACACGAUCAUCCUGCCCUCCUCCUCCCACUCCUGCACUGAGGGGCUGCUUGAAAAGGAACACAGAAGAAACUGUGGCAGAGAAAUUGCCUUUCUCCUAAGGGUGAAGCUCUGGAAGCCAGGGACUGGGCUGUCCAGCUGCCGAGAGACCCUUUCUUGGAGCCAUUGCUUUCCUUAGGAGGGGAAUCCAGUUUUUCCCCUGGGCCGGGCCUGGAUCACUGCUUCCUGGAAACAGGGAAGGGGCAGACAUCCCAUACUUAGUAUUCAGACAGCUGCUCCAUUCUGUUUUCUUCUGGCUUCACAACCCCAAGUCUGUUUAUUUCAGUUUCUCCAGAAAACUAAAGCAAAAACAAAGCCUUCCAGUUUUGUUUUGUUGUUUUUUUGGUACCAGGGAUUGAACUCGGAACCUUGUGUUUGCGAGGCAGGUGCCAGAACUACUGAGCUAAAUCCCCGGGCCCAACCUUCCAGUUUUCAUCUGAUGCUCCUAACAACUCCUUGAGGUAACUUACAAAUUAGGAUUAUCUUUUUUUCUUUUUGGUACCGGGGAUCGAACUUGGGACCUUGCGCUUUCGAGGCAGGCGCUGGAACUAAAUUAGGAUUAUCUUUUUUUCUUUUUGGUACCGGGGAUCGAACUUGGGACCUUGCGCUUUCGAGGCAGGCGCUGGAACUAAAUUAGGAUUAUCUUUAGAUGUGUAAAAAAGGAAAAUCACCAGCAAUGGUGGCACAAAGGAUGGUUCUCACACAUAAAAGAAGUCUGGAGGUGGACAGUAUAGGCCUGGUGGGGAUGUUAGGGUUUUCAGAGGCCCAAGCUCCACCAUCCUAACCCUUGAUGUGUUCCAGGAUGCCUCAUGGCCCAUCAGCAUGGCUGCUGGGGUUCCAGGCAUUCAGUCUGUUUCCAGGCCACCAGCUGGAAGAAGGCCAAUUUCAUUCUCCUUUAUGGAGCCUUCCCAUAAGUCCCAAAUGUUUCAAUUUAACAGCUGAUUGCUAGUCUAUAACAUGGCUACAGAACCUUCUCUCAUUAAAAAAAAAAUACAUAUAUAUACACACACAC